UACGAAGGGGGCUAGCGUUGUUCGGAAUUACUGGGCGUAAAGCGCGUGUAGGCGGGUCUUUAAGUCAGGGGUGAAAUGCCAAGGCUCAACCUUGGAACUGCCUUUGAUACUGGAGAUCUUGAGUCCGGGAGAGGUGAGUGGAACUGCGAGUGUAGAGGUGAAAUUCGUAGAUAUUCGCAAGAACACCAGUGGCGAAGGCGGCUCACUGGCCCGGAACUGACGCUGAGACGCGAAAGCGUGGGGAG
rnacentral:rRNA from 1 species